rnacentral:rRNA from 1 species
ACCCGCACAAGCGGUGGAUGAUGUGGUUUAAUUCGAUGCAACGACGAAAACCUUACCCACCUUUGACAUGUACGGAAUCCUUUAGAGAUAGAGGAGUGCUCGAAAGAGAGCCGUAACACAGGUGCUGCAUGGCUGUCGUCAGCUCGUGUCGUGAGAUGUUGGGUUAAGUCCCGCAACGAGCGCAACCCUUGUCAUUAGUUGCUACGAAAGGGCACUCUAAUGAGACUGCCGGUGACAAACCGGAGGAAGGUGGGGAUGACGUCAAGUCCUCAUGGCCCUUAUAGGUGGGGCUACACACGUCAUACAAUGGCUGGUACAAAGGGUUGCCAACCCGCGAGGGGGAGCCAAUCCCAUAAAGCCAGUCGUAGUCCGGAUCGCAGUCUGCAACUCGACUGCGUGAAGUCGGAAUCGCUAGUAAUCGUGGAUCAGCAUGUCACGGUGAAUACGUUCCCGGGCCUU